CAAUGAUGUCAUAUUGGUCCUGGAGAAGAGCGCGCGGGAGACAAAUAAGGAAAAGAUAUUAAGCACAACAUGCUGAGGGAUACAAAACAUGUGUUAGCAUGUGGCUAAUGACUGGGAACGGCUUAGCGUUGGCUUCUAACCGUCUACCUUCCGUUAAAUUACGGGGGACCCGUGCUGCUGGAGAGGACGUCGUAUGUCAAAGGGACCAAGGGUCAUAAAACUCUCAGACAGGAAGUAGAUGAAGGUGCUGCAUUUGAUGCUGUAGUGUCCAGAAUCAAAUGUUUUAGAAGAGCAAUGGGAUGUGAAAACCUUUAGAGUCCUUUUCAUUCACCUCCUUAACACAUUCACAGGGAUGUCUGGAUUCAAAAUGAAUCUGAUGCCUUUUUUUUUGUUUUAUCAUGAGGUUGUGUUGUUUUCCCCUUUUGCUCAUUCAACCUAAAAAGGUUUAUGAAACCUUCAAGCUCGGACAAGUUUGUGAAGACUGACACGCGAUAUCAAAGCCAAUCUCCUCGCACCCCGCACACAAAGCGGUUCCUCUUAGUAUUAGCGGGGCCAGUCUGGCAGGGGCAUCGCCGACAAGUUGGGCCACGUUCCCCCUCUACCCUUUAGGCCCUUCAGUUAAAGCAAAGCAGACGAACCCAAAUGAAUGAGACAGUGUUUUAGUCCACUUACAGAACAAAACGAGGCCUGUAAUCCAUCACCAUUAGAGCACCUAACCAGCGAUCAAGGUUUAAUUCAGGGCCAUUAAUUAUGGAACAGGAAUCAAUACAGGCAACCUACAACUACAGCGUUUCUCACUUUCUGCUUCUGUUAGGAACACGUGCUGGAAACACAGCAGCUUCACAAAAUUAGGAAAGUCUUGUUCGAGUGGUUUGGUUCAGAGCGACUCGACUCGUCUGUUGUAACAAAAGACACACGGCUGUUAACAUCUGCUGCAUAUUAUUUGUGAACGGGGGAAGAUUAAUGAGCGAUAUGAAAGAGGGAAGUUGAGACAUGUUUAAAUACCAUUGAACGGCAACAUCGGCUUUUAACGACGUUCCCGCUCAGAACUGCUGCUUUAUGCUUUAACCUUGUACCAAAGCGAAUGGUUGGGCUCAAAUGCCUAAAUUUCUGAAGUCUUCAUGUAGAUUCAAAAGGGAGAAGGGGAGUUCAUGCAUCACAGCACUGAAAGUGAUGAUAGCACCUACUUGGAGGAGAGUGACCGCGAAGAGCACGAUGACAACGCUGAUAAUGAUCAAAGGCAGAUACCACCAGGAGAAGCCCAGCACGCUUUGAGCAGCUUCAUCUGCAAAACACACAGGAAAAUACCUGUUUGAUGCCAUGUUGCAUGUUUCCGCAGCAUAUGAAUAAAUGACUGUAAGUAAGUUUA